rnacentral:rRNA from 1 species
GUCCGGAUUUAUUGGGCGUAAAGAGCUCGUAGGCGGCUUGGCAAGUCGGGUGUGAAACCUCCAGGCUCAACCUGGAGACGCCACUCGAUACUGCUAUGGCUAGAGUUCGGUAGGGGAGACUGGAAUUCCUGGUGUAGCGGUGAAAUGCGCAGAUAUCAGGAGGAACACCGGUGGCGAAGGCGGGUCUCUGGGCCGAAACUGACGCUGAGGAGCGAAAGCGUGGGGAGCGAACAGG